rnacentral:rRNA from 1 species
GAUGAACGCUGGCGGCGUGCCUAAUACAUGCAAGUCGUACGGAAAGGCCCUUCGGGGUACUCGAGUGGCGGACGGCUGAGUAACGCGUGGGAACGUGCCCCAAAGUGAGGGAUAACGCACCGAAAGGUGUGCUAAUACCGCAUAUGGUCUUCGGAUUAAAGCUUCGGCGCUUUGGGAGCGGCCCGCGUACGAUUAGAUAGUUGGUGAGGUAAUGGCUCACCAAGUCGACGAUCGUUAGCUGGUCUGAGAGGAUGAUCAGCCAGACUGGGACUGAGACACGGCCCAGACUCCUACGGGAGGCAGCAGUAAGGAAUCUUCCCCAAUGGGGGCAACCCUGAUGGAGCGACGCCGCGUGCAGGAUGAAGGUUUUCGGAUCGUAAACUGCUUUUAUAAGUGAAGAAUAUGACGGUAACUUAUGAAUAAGGAUCGGCUAACUACGUGCCAGCAGCCGCCGUAA